UGCGUAGGCUGAAUGGUAAGUCAGUGGUGAAAUCCUACAGCUCAACUGUAGAACUGCCAUUGAUACUCCCAUUCUUGAGUACAAUUGAAGUGGGCGGAAUGUGUUAUGUAGCGGUGAAAUGCAUAGAUAUGACACAGAACACCAAUCGCGAAGGCAGCUCACUAAAUUGAAACUGACGCUGAGGCACGAAAGCGUGGGGAGCAAACAGGAUUAGAUACCCUGGUAGUCC
rnacentral:rRNA from 1 species